GACGAACGCUGGCGGCGUGCUUAACACAUGCAAGUCGAACGGAAAGGCCCUGCUUUGGUGGGGUGCUCUAGUGGCGAACGGGUGAGUAACACGUGAGUAACCUGCCCUUGACUGUGGGAUAACUUCAGGAAACUGGGUCUAAUACCGGAUAGGAGCUCCUGCUGCAUGGUGGGGGUUGGAAGGUUUCGGCGGUUGGGGAUGGACUCGCGUCUUAUGAGCUUGUUCGUUGGGUAGUGGAUUACCAAGGCUUGGACGGGUAGCCGAGCUGGACGGGUGACCGGCCACGUUGGGCCUGAACUACGGCACAGCCCCGUACGGGAGGCAGCAGUGGGGAAGAUUGCACAAUGGGCGGAGGCCUGGUGCAGCACCGCCGCGUGCGGGAUGACGGCCUUCGGGUUGUAUUCCGCUUUCGCCUGUGACGAAGCGUGAGUGACGGUAAUGGGUAAAGAAGCACCGGCUAACUCCGUG
rnacentral:rRNA from 1 species